GGGAUGGUGGCUCAGUGGUAGAGUGCUUGCCUUGCCUGCAAGAGGCCCUGGGUUCGAUUCCUCAGUACCA
rfam:Dipodomys ordii contig_10659, whole genome shotgun sequence.